UACGGAGGGGGCAAGCGUUAUUCGGAAUUAUUGGGCGUAAAGCGCACGUAGGCGGCUUAGCAAGUCGGAUGUGAAAUCCCUCGGCUCAACCAAGGAAGUGCAUCCGAAACUGCUGGGCUCGAGUCCGGAAGAGGCGAGUGGAAUUCCCGGUGUAGCGGUGAAAUGCGCAGAUAUCGGGAGGAACACCAAUGGCGAAGGCAGCUCGCUGGGACGUGACUGACGCUGAGACGCGAAAGCGUGGGGAGCAAACAGG
rnacentral:rRNA from 1 species